GUUCUUUGUAGAUGUAACUUAACAGUUGUUUUACCUGCACUUUAAAUUUCCCGCAAUUUAUAGACACCGGAACCGGAAACGCAUUCGGCUACCAGGUGGCAUACAACAACAAUCUUCCGAAUGCAGAGUUACCAGUCAUAUUAAAAAAUUCACAGAGUAAUUGGAGGAGUUCUUUAACCUUACACAAUGUCUGCUUCAGCAGUCUACAUUCUGGAUAUGAAGGGAAAGGUUCUGAUAUGUCGGAACUACAGAGGGGAUAUAGACAUGUCUGUGAUAGACAAGUUUAUGCCAAUGGUAAUGGAUAUGGAAGAUGAAGGGCAGAUGUCACCUAUUAUCCAGCAUGGAGAUAUAGCUUUUAUUUAUAUAAAAUACAACAACCUAUAUCUAGUGGCAUCAUCGAAGAAAAAUGCGAAUGUUGCUCUGGUGUUUUCAUUUCUACAUAAAUGUGUACAGAUAUUUCUAGAAUAUUUCAAAGAGCUGGAAGAAGAAAGUAUACGAGAUAACUUUGUGCUGAUUUAUGAACUGUUGGAUGAGGUCAUGGAUUUUGGCUUCCCUCAAACAACAGAUAGUAAAAUUUUACAAGAGUACAUCACUCAGGAGGGACACAAAAUGGAAAUCGCUCCCCGUCCACCUAUGGCUGUAACAAAUGCUGUGUCGUGGAGAUCUGAGGGACUCAAAUAUAGAAAGAAUGAAGUGUUUCUAGAUGUUAUUGAAUCAGUCAACUUACUGGUGAGCGCAAAUGGCAACGUGUUGCGUAGUGAGAUUGUAGGAGCCAUCAAAAUGAGGGUGUACCUGUCUGGCAUGCCAGAACUGAGACUCGGACUUAAUGAUAAAGUGCUGUUUGAGUCAACAGGAAAAGGAGGAAAGAGCAAAUCUGUCGACCUGGAGGACACGAAAUUUCAUCAAUGUGUGAGAUUAUCUCGAUUUGAGAAUGAUAGAACAAUAUCCUUCGUACCUCCUGACGGAGAGUUUGAACUGAUGUCCUACAGACUUAAUACACAUGUUAAACCUUUAAUUUGGGUGGAAUCAGUUAUCGAAAGACAUGCCCAUAGUAGAGUAGAAUAUAUGAUAAAGGCAAAGAGUCAGUUUAAGAGACGAUCGACAGCUAACAAUGUGGAGAUAGUGAUACCAGUACCUCCUGAUGCAGACUCUCCCAAAUUUAAGACAACAGUCGGAAGUUGUAAAUAUGCUCCAGAAAUGAAUGCUGUACUGUGGACUAUUAAAUCUUUCCCUGGAGGCAAGGAGUAUUUGAUGCGUGCACAUUUUGGUUUACCUAGUGUAGAGAAUGAGGACCAAGAAGGACGUCCACCAAUCAGUAUCAAGUUUGAGAUUCCUUAUUUCACUGUAUCUGGAAUACAGGUUCGUUAUUUGAAGAUCAUUGAAAAAAGUGGCUAUCAAGCUCUACCAUGGGUUAGAUAUAUAACUCAAAAUGGGGACUACCAACUGAGGACGAGCUGAGGGACGAGGUAGCCAUUUCUCCACUACAGCCAGAGACUAUAACUAUAGAACACCACAGAUGAUCAGAUCUGCACAUAUUACCUGUUAAAAUUUGUGAUAAAAGUCCUCCUGAAAACUGUGCAAUGUUUCUCUGAAUAAAUUCUAUUCAUGUUUUACCAAAGUAGUAGUGUAUAACAUGAAUUGUAGAAUAUCAUAUACUUAAAUGAAUUGUGUUUUAUUUAAAAAAAUCUUCUUGGAUAUUGAUAAUUAUACCCCCACAAACGAAGUUUAGGGGGGGUAUAUAGGAGUCAGCUUGUCGGUCGGUCGGUCGGUCGGUUGGUCGGUCCGUCCGUCCGUCCGUCGGUCGGUCCACAUCAUGGUUUCCGGACGAUAACUAGAGUUUGGAAUGAGGUAUUGUAAUCAAACUUGGUAUAUAGCAACCUUAUGUGGAAACUCUGGUUGGUAUUGCAUUUGGACCCCCUGGGGUCAAGGUCACUGUUACUAAAAAUAGAAAAAUGGUUUCCGGACAAUAACUUGAGUUAGGAAUGAGAUAUUGUAAUCAAACUUGGUGUAUAGCAAGCUUAUAUGAAGACCUUGGUUGGUAUUGCAUUUGGACCCCCUGAGGUCAAGGUCAAGGUCACCGUUACUAAAUAUAGAAAAAUGGUUUCCGGACAAUAACUAGAGUUAGGAAUGAGAUAUUGUAAUCAAACUUUGUGAAAAGCAAGCUUAUUUGGAGACCCCGGUUGGGAUUACAAUUAAUUGAAAUAUUUCUUUGUACAAAGUUGAUAGUAUGUGUUGAAAUUUUUCUUCAGACUACUUAUUUUUCAAAAAGUUGCUGGUGGGGGUAUUAAUCACCUUCAGUGAUAGGUCUAGUUUAUUUUUGUUACACACUGUAUUACUAUUGUCAUGACCUGUUUGUUGGCAUUGGUUAACCUUUUCAUUAAGGAACUAUAUAAGCUAUUCAAACUUGGUAUACUUGUUUAUUGGCAUAUAAAAAAUGCUUGUUUCAUAAGGGCAGGUAAUCCUAAAAAUAUUUUUACAAAGUUUUACCGAUUUUUCUAUAUUAGAUCUACUUAUAUUCUACCAUCCAGCACUGAGAAAAGCGGAGCAUGCUGUCUAUAGACAGAUCUUGUUUAUGUCUUUACAAAACGUAUACAGUGUGUAAAACUUACAUAUUUUAAAACCCAUUCUGGAUUUGAUAAAGCAACGUUGUAUAAGUAAUAAAUAAUCAAUUAGACAAUGAAGUAAUAAACUUAUUUUUUAUGUGGAUUAAAUGAUAGAGUGCUUCAAGUGUUCUUAAAGUUUCAUAAAUACCAUGUUUAUAUAAUUGUAAAAUGAUAUCCUUCCCAAUUUAUUUUUGCUCUAUCCCUACUGUCUUCAGUUGGAUAAGAUAUGCAGGAACCCAAUUUGCAAUGUAAUCUUCUUUAUUUUUACCUCAAAAAGUUAAUAUACAUGUAUAUUUAAUGAAAAAAUGUUUAAUUUCCUUUUCAGAGUUAUGAACUCUAUUUUUUUGUGGGGGGGGGGGGGGUAGUAUAAAACAUUUUUUUUUUCAAAUUUAUGUACAUGUAUAUUAAAAAAUUUAUUAUACACAUAAUGUUAAUGAAAUGUCAAAAUUUAAUGAUUAAUAAACCCUUUAUUAUUUGUUAAUUUGUGAACAUUCAAAAAAGAGUUAAUAUAUAUGUAGCAUUAGGAAUUUAAGAAAGUUUUGAGCAUUUUCUUAAUUUUAAUAUUCUAUGUUAAAUGCAUUCCAUGUUUAACUGUUUAAAAAAGUGAACAGAUGUUUUUUUUAUAUCAUAUUUAUUCAUGUUACAUGUAAACUUCAUAUCUAGGCAGUGAUAAUUAAAAUAAUGAAGUUUGUUAUUAACAAACUGUAUAACACCCCUCUCAUUUUUUGUUGUGAAUUUGGAACAUGCAUGUUAAAACAUGCUAUGUCCAUAGCUUGUAUCAUUAUCAAUAAAUGGUAACGUUUAA